CCUACGGGUGGCAGCAGUGGGGGAUAUUGCACAAUGGGGGAAACCCUGAUGCAGCGACGCCGCGUGGGCGAAGAAGUAUUUCGGUAUGUAAAGCCCUAUCAGCAGGGAAGAAGAAAUGACGGUACCUGCAUCAGAAGCACCAGCUAAAUACGUGCCAGCAGCCGCGCUAAUACGUAGGGUGCAAGCGUUCUCCGGAUUUACUGGGUGUAAAGGGAGCGCAGGCGGCACGGUAAGCCUGAUGUGAAAGCCCGGGGCCCAACCGGGGGACUGCAUUGGGAACUAGCGGGCUGGAGUGCGGGAGAGGGAGGCGGAAUUCCUGGUGUAGCAGUGAAAUGCGUAGAUAUCAGGAGGAACACCAGUGGCGAAGGCGGCUUACUGGACGGUGACUGACGCUGAGGCGCGAAAGCGUGGGGAGCAAACAGGAUUAGAUACCCGUGUAGUC
rnacentral:rRNA from 1 species